ensembl:miRNA
GGCGUGGUGGCGGGCGCCUGUGAUCCCAGCUACUCAGGAGACUGAGGCACGAGAAUCGCUUGAACCCGGGAGGCAGAGGUUGCAGUGAGC